AGUGAACGCUGGCGGUAGGCCUAACACAUGCAAGUCGAACGGCAGCACAGUAAGAGCUUGCUCUUACGGGUGGCGAGUGGCGGACGGGUGAGGAAUACAUCGGAAUCUACUUUUUCGUGGGGGAUAACGUAGGGAAACUUACGCUAAUACCGCAUACGACCUACGGGUGAAAGCUGGGGAUCUUCGGACCUUGCGCGAUUGAAUGAGCCGAUGUCGGAUUAGCUAGUUGGCGGGGUAAAGGCCCACCAAGGCGACGAUCCGUAGCUGGUCUGAGAGGAUGAUCAGCCACACUGGAACUGAGACACGGUCCAGACUCCUACGGGAGGCAGCAGUGGGGAAUAUUGGACAAUGGGCGCAAGCCUGAUCCAGCCAUACCGCGUGGGUGAAGAAGGCCUUCGGGUUGCAAAGCCCUUUUGUUGGGAAAGAAAAGCAGCAGGUUAAUACCCCGCUGUUCUGACGGUACCCAAAGAAUAAGCACCGGCUAACUUCGUG
rnacentral:rRNA from 1 species